rnacentral:lncRNA from 1 species
GGGCGGACGGCCGCGGCCGCGCUUGGGUGCCUUUGCCUUCGGUGCCCGGGGUGGGGGAGGGGGCGCGUUAGGGUCCUUGGGCUUUGGUGGGCGGCCGCGGCCCCGCUUGGGCGCGUUUGGGUCCCGGGCCGGGGGAGCGGGGGGAGGCGGCGCGUUUGGGUCCUUGGGCUUGGGCGGGCGGCCGCGGCCCCGCUUGGGCGGUGCUGGAGCGUCGGAGGUGGGGCGGACGUAGUUGUUCUUGUCGAAGAGGAGCUUGCCGCUCUCCUUCAUGCUGGCGAGGUUCGCGGUGAGGAGGGAGGCGUGCGCUGAGGGGAGUUCCUUGUACUUCUCCUCGAUGAAGCUCGAGAUCGCCGUCUUGUUGGCGCCGUUCUUGUCGUCCAGCGCGUCAAUCGCCUCCAGAAUCAUCUGCAUGCCGGAGAAAAGGAGACACUGAGCUCGCGACCAGCAAAGGAAAGAAGCGCCGAAGGACGAAAUACACCGUGGAUGAAUCUACGGCGCGGAAGCAAAGCACGACGACCAGAAGAAACUUACAUCUGGGUAGGUCGGGAGGGCGUCGGACUUGGGGGCCUCCUCGUCGGCCAUGGCUACAGGCCGCAGCGGUGGGUCUGAGCUCCAAGUUACAGUACAAGCGUAGAGGAUACAGCUAAGGGCGAACUUCGGGGAGAGAAGGGGAAAAUUUUCGGGAUUUGGAUCGGGGGAGGGGAGG